rnacentral:rRNA from 1 species
AGUGAACGCUGGCGGUAGGCCUAACACAUGCAAGUCGAACGGCAGCACAGUAAGAGCUUGCUCUUACGGGUGGCGAGUGGCGGACGGGUGAGGAAUACAUCGGAAUCUACUUUUUCGUGGGGGAUAACGUAGGGAAACUUACGCUAAUACCGCAUACGACCUACGGGUGAAAGCAUGGGAUCUUCGGACCUUGCGCGAUUGAAUGAGCCGAUGUCGGAUUAGCUAGUUGGCGGGGUAAAGGCCCACCAAGGCGACGAUCCGUAGCUGGUCUGAGAGGAUGAUCAGCCACACUGGAACUGAGACACGGUCCAGACUCCUACGGGAGGCAGCAGUGGGGAAUAUUGGACAAUGGGCGCAAGCCUGAUCCAGCCAUACCGCGUGGGUGAAGAAGGCCUUCGGGUUGUAAAGCCCUUUUGUUGGAAAAGAAAAGCAGCAGGUUAAUACCCCGCUGUUCUGACGGUACCCAAAGAAUAAGCACCGGCUAACUUCGUG